CUACGGGAGGCAGCAGUGGGGAAUAUUGCACAAUGGGCGCAAGCCCGAUGCAGCAACGCCGCGUGAGGGAUGAAGGCCUUCGGGUUGUAAACCUCUUUUAGCAGGGAAGAAGCGAAAGUGACGGUACCUGCAGAAAAAGCACCGGCUAACUACGUGCCAGCAGCCGCGGUAAUACGUAGGGUGCAAGCGUUGUCCGGAAUUAUUGGGCGUAAAGAGCUCGUAGGCGGUUUGUCACGUCUGCUGUGAAAAUCCAAGGCUCAACCUUGGACUUGCAGUGGGUACGGGCAGGCUAGAGUGCGGUAGGGGAGAUGGGAAUUCCUGGUGUAGCGGUGGAAUGCGCAGAUAUCAGGAGGAACACCAAUGGCGAAGGCACAUCUCUGGGCCGUAACUGACGCUGAGGAGCGAAAGCGUGGGGAGCGAACAGGAUUAGAUACCCGGGUAGUC
rnacentral:rRNA from 1 species